ACUCAAAUGAAUUGACGGGGACUUGCACAAGCAGAGGAUUAUGUGGUUUAAUUCGAUGAUAAACGAAGAACCUUACCAAGAUUUGAAACCUAGUUGAAUAGUGCAGAAACGUACUAGUCCCACAAGGACAAUUAGGCAGGUGAUGCAUGGCUGUCGUCAGUUCGUAGUUUGAACCGUUCCCUUAAGUGGGGUAACGAACGCAACCCUCGUUGUCUGUUACAUGUAUCAGGCGAGACUGCCCCAGAUUUUGCUCAUGAAUGAAAGUUCGUGAAUAAAAUCUGGGGAGGAAGGCGAGGAUGACGCCAAGUCAGCAUGUCCCUCUGAUAUCUUGGGCUACACACAUAAUACAAUGGCGGCUACAACGGGCUGCGACGGGGAAACCCUGAGCUAAUCCUUAUAAAAGCCGCCCCAGUUCAGAUUGGGGGCUGCAACUCGACCCCAUGAAGUUGGAUUUGCUAGUAAUCGCGGGUCAGACAUACCGCGGUGAAUACGUUCUCAAGUCUUGUACACACCGCCCGU
rnacentral:rRNA from 1 species